AGGUUAAUGAUUUACUGGAGAUAUCCAAGACGAUUUCAACAUUACCCUCCAUGGUUGAGCAUCACAUUCAGAAAGGCAGUGUCAGGCAGCCAGGGAGCCAUACAUGGAACCUACUGAGGGUUAAGCGUGGUUUUGAUAUAGUGAAAGUUCUGUUUGAGUAGAUAUUGGUCACAGAAGGCAACUCCGUGAAGGACGCAGCGUCCAAGGCUUAUGCUCAGGUGUUUGCUCCUCACCAUGGCUGGGCCAUAAGGAAAACAGUAUGUGCUAGAAUGUACGCCCUUCCUUCUAAGUCGCAGCUCUUGAAGAAACUGAAUGAAGAUGGUGAGUAUGUCUUCGUCUCGAGAACACUGAUUUAUCUCUCUUUAGUUUAAACAUGUUAUUACAUUGAACUUCCAUGCCAAGAAAUCAACUCAUAAAAUUAGCUGACAUGAUCAGAUCACAUUGCUUUUUGGUUGCCUUAGAAAGCAUUGAAACUUCUAGGCGCUCUACCUCCAAAAACUUUACUCGAAGCCUACCACUACAACACGGUAGAUAAUAGGAGGCGCUCAAAAAUGCCUUCGAAAGCUCUGAAAACGCCUCCAAAAGCCUGUCGAGGCAUUCCUAAAAAACGCUAAGGACUGUCGCGAAGGGAUAGAUAUACGCCGGCACUCCUAGAGAUUGCCACGGCCGCUCCAUUUUGAGGCGUUUUUAUAAAGUGCCUCCAAUUCCCGUCAGACUCUCUGACGGGCCAUAAAAAUAGAGGCGUGCUUCCCCUGAAGCCGAUCUCAUCUUAUCUAAAGAUUAUUAUAUGCCCAACCAAGAUCAAAUUCUUUCGACCUCUUGCCCUAGGCAUGUCAAAUAAAUUGGAUCACAGCGCACUCUACAAGUCUACUUCUCAUCAUGAGACCUCUGUCUACUUCUGUACUCUAGAUCUUAGAAGAUAUGAGACGGUUCUCCUUUUAAACAGGCAAACUUUCAUCUCCGUAAGCAGUAUGGGAUUAAAUAAACCCUUCUACCUUGUUUUCUGUCAGGAAGUACUAUAUUUUUAUACGCUGGUAGCUAACCGCCGUACACGGCAAGAUUUCAGCCGACGAUCCAUGUCCCUACGCGCGUGCUGUCGGUUUUCUUCCACGCGCUGCUGCUGUUACCUGAAAAGGUCAGCCCAAAACUGAUGAUCAGCGUGCCACCAAUUUCGAGGCCAUCUUUUGUCGGGAAGAUCGAUCAGUUUGGAGGCAAUUUGGAUGAGCGCCUCAAAUCCCCAUCUUCUCUGUACACACCUCAUCAAAACUGAACCAAGUCAUGGUUUAGAUGGUGUGUGUGAACAUGGUUUAAACUGUGAUAUUUCUUGGUGAGAGCAAACUAAGCUUUUUCAUUUCUUUAUUAACUAAAAUAUUGAUCGACAAAGCUGAUGCCUCUGCUUACUUGUGGUUACCGAAAUUAAUAAUGAUCUCUGAAGACGAGUAUUGGAUUAAAGAAAACAUAGAGUUAUAAUCAGCCAAAUUUAAAUUUGAUUGUUUGUAGGCGUAUUCUAAAACUGGUAUAACAAUGUUAAAUGUGGGAUUGUAAUUUCUUUUUAUGCAUGCAGGAUUAAUUUUUCUUUCAGAGCUUAUUAUCAUUCGAUCUUAGCUACUCGCUCCUUCUAUUAGCUUUCUGUGGAUGUAUAUUUUGUUCAUUUGUGAAGAAGACUCCGUGAGAUUUCAUACUUGGGAUCAACUCCGUUGACAUAUAGUACUUCUAGGUUACCAUCAGUUAGACAUUUAGUGAUGGUGUAAGUUGUUGUAUUGCUUGUACAACUGUCGUGGUUCAGAUUUGGACAUUUUCAAUUGGUUGAAAAGAUCAUGUUAUUGAAUUAA